CGCAGGAAGGCCUCGUUCGGACCGCUGGGUUUCUGAAGGCUGGUGCUGCUGAACGACCGCUGAAGCUCGUUAACAUCCACAGGAGCGGGGGUUUCUUACCUUCCGUGGCACAGUGAAGGACAGGGGCUCCACCAGGUCCUUCACACACACCAUCCUGUAAAACCGGAAUAUCUCACACUGCUUUGUGCGCAGCCCACGCUUUGGCAUCACACCUGCACAGUGCGAACUGUCUCUGGUUCCAGCAGGAGUUUCCUGUUGUCAGGAGGAGGUUCAGGUCAGUCAGGAACACAACCUUGCUGGCCUUGUGAGACUGACCUCCAGAUUCCUACGCAGAACAAGAAAGUGUGUGAGAGAGAGAGAGAGAGAGAGAGAGAGAGAUACAUGGAGAGAAAAAGACAAAGAAGGUUGCAGCUAAAGAUUUUCCAGUAGAGGGCAUCAUUCACUGUUAUAUACACUUCCUGGACAAAAAGAAAGUCGCCACCUGGAUUUAAGUAGUGGCCAGUCUGCUGCCGUCCUCGUUGAAGCCCAGCGACAGAACCAGGUCAGUGUGUAGAUGGAUCACACACACGGGAGUCUUUACU